AUGCCGAACUCUGGAGAGCGGCACCCGCCAUGCGUGGCGAGCGUGCCCACCGAAGGGGCGCGCGAGGCAGAUGUUGAUCGGAUCCGGUCCACCGGAUCCGCCUCGUAAUCUCUCAGGUAUCGAGGACAGAGGGGUCAUC
rnacentral:ncRNA from 1 species